AACAAUAUUUUGCUGCCCAUAUUGUUCUGGCUGAACAAUAUUGUUAACAACCAGGAACAAUAUGGGCAGCAAAAUAUUUUUA